GACAGAGGGGGCAAGCGUUGCUCGGAAUUACUGGGCGUAAAGGGUGCGUAGGUGGUUUCUUAAGUCAGAGGUGAAAGGCUACGGCUCAACCGUAGUAAGCCUUUGAAACUGGGAAACUUGAGUGCAGGAGAGGAGAGUGGAAUUCCUAGUGUAGCGGUGAAAUGCGUAGAUAUUAGGAGGAACACCAGUUGCGAAGGCGGCUCUCUGGACUGUAACUGACACUGAGGCACGAAAGCGUGGGGAGCAAACAGG
rnacentral:rRNA from 1 species